ensembl:snRNA U6 U6 spliceosomal RNA
ACAUUUCUUUGGCAGUGCAAAUACUAAAGUUGGAAUGGUAUAGAGAAGAUUAGCAUGGCUCCUUGCACAAGGAUAACAUGCACAUUUAUGAAAUAUUCCAUAUAAAA